rnacentral:rRNA from 1 species
GAGCCUACGGGGGGCAGCAGUGGGGAAUAUUGCACAAUGGGGGAAACCCUGAUGCAGCGAUGCCGCGUGGAGGAAGAAGGUUUUCGGAUUGUAAACUCCUUUUAUCAGGGACGAUAAUGACGGUACCUGAAGAAAAAGCUCCGGCUAAAUACGUGCCAGCAGCCGCGGUAAUACGUAUGGAGCAAGCGUUAUCCGGAUUUACUGGGUGUAAAGGGAGCGCAGACGGCAGGGCAAGUCUGAUGUGAAAGUCCGGGGCUCAACCCCGGGACUGCAUUGGAAACUGUCCGGCUAGAGUGCAGGAGAGG